AGGACUAUGGGAGUGUUUAUUUAAUCACCUGGCAACAUGGUACACCUAUUGAGUUGUAACAGCAGAGCACAGGUUUAAUAAAGCAAAGCAUGAAAGGGAGCGUGUGCAUAUUCUCUACUGACAUAAAACCACCUGAUAUCAAUUAUAGCUACCGUACUGGCAAUGAGCUGAUGACCUUCACUGGAUUGCAUUAAAAACUGUGUGUACUGGCCUCGUCCUUCGGGAAAAAACACACACGAUGUCUGAAGUGACAGACAAACUACACGAAUACAGUGCACACAAUGAAUACAUCAGUUCACAUUGUGUAACAGUUCAUUUCAGUGCUAGAACAAAGACAAAGCCAGGCGGACAAACAUCAUAAAAAGCAGGUUUGUGAUUACUCAAGCUGUGGUGGGAACAGACUGAGCACCAUCACCUGCAGGUACACACACAUUAAGAAUAGACUCAAAUUAAUAAAUUAAGAAUAGACUCAAAUUAAUACAUUAAGAAUAGAC